AUGGCGGAUACGGCACAAUAUAUAAACGAACGUUUCCAACGUUUUAUGCACGGCAUCGGCGAACGCUAUGAGCCAUUCAUCCGUCAGCACCUGUCCAAAGUUUAUAUGGUGCUGGCUAGCACUACCGCUGCUUCGGCAGUGGGCGCCCUGCUCCAAAUGCGUGGAACUUUCGAUUUGGGCAUGUUAGCAGCUAUCGCUUCAUUGGUGCUGGUUCUGGGUCUACACUUUUAUAAAGACGACGGCAAAAACUAUUACACGCGCUUGGGAAUGCUUUAUGCCUUUGGCUUUUGUUCGGGGCAAACAUUGGGUCCCUUGUUGGACUACAUUUGCAGCAUCAAUCCGGCGAUUAUCCUAACUGCACUAACUGGGACUUUUGUCACGUUUGGUUCUUUGUCGCUAGCCGCUCUGCUUGCCGAACAGGGCAAGUAUUUGUAUCUGGGUGGUAUGCUGGUUAGCGUUAUAAACUGCAUGGCUUUGCUCAGUCUAUUCAACAUGAUCUUUAAAUCAUACUUUGUCCAAAUUACUCAAUUAUACGUUGGCGUCUUUGUUAUGGCUGCCUUCAUAGUGUACGACACCCAAAACAUUGUCGACAAAUGCCGCUUGGGCAACCGCGAUGUUGUACAGCAUGCAUUGGAUCUUUUCUUCGACGUGUUGAGCAUGUUCCGCCGUUUGUUAAUUAUCUUAACGCAAAAGCUCAAGAGUUUUAUGGUUUGAGAGUUUGGUUUGUCAAUGCAGUUUAGCGACCAAGCCAAUGAAUAACCUUGAUCUGACUACUUAUAUCAAUCAAUAUCUUUAAUUAUAUUGCAAAGAAAUAUUCUUUAAUAUUCAAUCGCAACGGAGGAGCAAAAGCAAAACGAUCGUCGUAAAAAGAAGUAAUAAAAAACUUGAUCAACUGACAAAUUUCAAAUUAUUUACGUUGGAAACAAUUUUAAAUUCCAAAUGAAAGGGAAAUUAAUCUUUAUAUUAUAUAUAUUACACCAAAUACAACUGUACACAAAUUGUAGUAUUUGGUACACAUGAAAACCAUGCAAAUCCCGACCUAAAUGCCAUCUAAUAAAAUUCAGUUCAUUCAAAUGAUCUUAAAUGUAAUUCUUAUGGCCUUAUGCUAUUGAACGAUUUUUAAUAAAGCCCCAAGGUAUAUAUCUGGAUGUUGUGUUAAGUUU